GGACAGAAAGACCCUAUGAAGCUUUACUGUAGCUUGAAAUUGAGUUUGGGUUUAUUGUGCGCAGAAUAGGUGGGAGGCUAAGAAAAUAUACUUGCGGGUUUAUUUGAGCCAUCCUUGAGAUACCACUCUCAAUAAACUAAAAUUCUAACUUUGAAGUCGUUAGCCGGCCAAAAGACAGUUUCAGGUGGGCAGUUUGACUGGGGCGGUCGCCUCCUAAAAAGUAACGGAGGCGUGCAAAGGUUUCUUCAGACUGGUCGGAAAUCAGUCGUAGAGUAUAAAGGCAUAAAGAAGCUUGACUGCAAGACCUACAAGUCGAGCAGAGACGAAAGUCGGCCUUAGUGAUCCGACAGUGCUGAGUGGAAAGGCUGUCGCUCAACGGAUAAAAGUUACUCUAGGGAUAACAGGCUGA
rnacentral:rRNA from 1 species